rnacentral:ncRNA from 1 species
GGUUUGGUCGCCCGACAAGGGCGCCAAGAGGGAAGCCGGUGAGAGUCCGGCGCAGUCCCGCUGCUGUAAGCUCACAAACUGAAGCCCAAUCUGUUAAGCCACUGCGUACCGCCAUAGGUGCAUGGGAAGGCAAGGGCCUCGGGGAGCAAGCCAGAAGACCUGCCAAACC